GACGAACGCUGGCGGCGCGCCUAACACAUGCAAGUCGAACGGAGUCACGAGGAGCUUGCUUUUCUUGACUUAGUGGCGAACGGGUGAGUAACGCGUGAGUAACCUGCCCUGGAGUGGGGGACAACAGUUGGAAACGACUGCUAAUACCGCAUAAGCCCACGGAUCCGCAUGGAUCUGCGGGAAAAGGAUUUAUUCGCUUCAGGAUGGACUCGCGUCCAAUUAGCUAGUUGGUGAGGUAACGGCCCACCAAGGCGACGAUUGGUAGCCGGACUGAGAGGUUGAACGGCCACAUUGGGACUGAGACACGGCCCAGACUCCUACGGGAGGCAGCAGUGGGGGAUAUUGCACAAUGGGGGAAACCCUGAUGCAGCGACGCCGCGGGGAGGAAGAAGGUUUUCGGAUUGUAAACUCCUGUCGUUAGGGACGAUAAUGACGGUACCUAACAAGAAAGCACCGGCUAACUACGU
rnacentral:rRNA from 1 species